rnacentral:rRNA from 1 species
GAUGAACGCUAGCGGCAGGCUUAACACAUGCAAGUCGAGGGGUAGGGCAGCAAUGCCUGAGACCGGCGCACGGGUGCGUAACGCGUAUGCAAUCUACCUUUUACAGAGGGAUAGCCCAGAGAAAUUUGGAUUAAUACCUCAUAGCAUAACGACCUGGCAUCAGGAUGUUAUUAAAGUCACAACGGUAAAGAUGAGCAUGCGUCCCAUUAGCUUGUUGGAAGGUAACGGCUUACCAAGGCUACGAUGGGUAGGGGUCCUGAGAGGGAGAU